UCAUUACAACAGCUACAAUGUACUUGAUCUUGAUUAUCCUACGUGGAUAACUGUGGUAAUUCUAGAGCUAAUACAUGCACCAAAGCUCUGACUUUUGGACGAGCGCAUCUAUUAGAUUAAAACCAAUCGGGCUUCAACCCGCCAUUUGGUGACUCUGAAUAGCUAUGGCUGAUCGCAUGGUCUUGCACCGGCGACGUAUCUAUCAAGUGUCUGCCUUAUCAACUUUCGAUGGUAGUUUAUGUGCCUACCAUGGUUGUAACGGGUAACGGAGAAUAAGGGUUCGACUCCGGAGAGGGAGCCUGAGAAACGGCUACCACAUCCAAGGAAGGCAGCAGGCGCGCAAAUUACCCACUCUCGGCAUGAGGAGGUAGUGACGAAAAAUAACGAGACCGUUCUCUUUGAGGCCGGUUAUCGGAAUGGGUACAAUUUAAACCCGUUAACGAGGAUCUAUGAGAGGGCAAGUCUGGUGCCAGCAGCCGCGGUAAUUCCAGCUCUCAAAGUGUAUAUCGUCAUUGCUGCGGUUAAAAAGCUCGUAGUUGGAUCUGCGCCUCAGGACCUGGUCCGUCUUAUGGACGAGAACUGGGCUCCUAGGCUAAUACUGCCGGUUUUCUUUACGUUACCUUCAUCGGUCGCGUAAGGUGGCCAGCGAGUUUACCUUGAAAAAAUUAGAGUGCUCAAAGCGGGCUAAUGCCUGAAUAUUCGUGCAUGGAAUAAUGAAAUAGGAUCUCGGUUCUAUUUUGUUGGUUUUCUGAUCUGAGAUAAUGGUUAAGAGGGACAGACGGGGGCAUUCGUAUCGCUGCGUGAGAGGUGAAAUUCUUGGACCGUAGCGAGACGCCCGACUGCGAAAGCAUUUGCCAAGAAUGUCUUCAUUAAUCAAGAACGAAAGUCAGAGGUUCGAAGGCGAUCAGA
rnacentral:rRNA from 1 species